GGUUGGGAUUUUUUACGGAUGUGGUGAUGCUUCAGAGGAGUGGGAUGUCUCCGGAGGAGAUAGAUGCUUCAGAGAAAUGCUAGCCUCCCCACUUCCUCAGUUUCCACUACGGUGGUGGAAAGUUGGUGCAGAGGAAAAGCGUGGAGUAAAAGGAAGGAAAUGGCGGAGGCGGGCCCUGCACUCAACAUCUUCUAUUGGCUUUGUAGUUCUCCAGUUUUUCCGCGCUCGAGGGAAAGGAGGGCGCGCGCCCACAUCCACUCCCAGCCACCCACCGCUGCCGCUGAGGGUGCAUUCGGGUGACUUAAAUAUUCCUGAUGACUUCCUUCUGUCUUCCCACACACAGUGAGUCGGCCUGAGCGCAGUCACUGCCCAACACAGACCGUAAAGAAGCUUCUGGAAGAACAGAGGCGCCGACAGCAGCAGCCAGAGGCUGCUGGGGUACCGGGACACUUCUCCCCUCCUCUGGUCCAGCCACUGACCCCAUCUGUGAGCGAGUCAGAGGCAGGCCAUACUCACUUCCCUGCCUUCCAAGAGACUGUGGAUUCUGGACCUGGCAACCUGGCUCCCCCUUCAGGCUUCACAGACUGGGACUCCAGCAUCCAUGCUCCGUAUGCAGAAGGCUCUUUCCCAUACUCUGCUUCUGAAGGCUUCCUGACUCCUGAUCUCUACCCAGUGUCAGACCCAGGCCGGUCAGGCCCAUUUCCCCUGGCAAUGGAGGACUCUCUGGAUACCCGGCCGUAUCCAGAACCUUCCCUGUCACAAGUAGGAUCCUGGAGAGUCUCUGGUCU
rnacentral:lncRNA from 1 species